GACGAACCGUGCGAACGUUGUUCGGAAUCACUGGGCUUAAAGGGCGCGUAGGCGGCUUGCCAAGUCAGUGGUGAAAUCCUGCAGCUUAACUGUAGAAGUGCCUUUGAUACUGGCAAGCUCGAGGGAGGUAGGGGUCUGUGGAACUUCUGGUGGAGCGGUGAAAUGCGUUGAUAUCAGAAGGAACGCCGGUGGCGAAAGCGACGGACUGGAUCUCUUCUGACGCUGAGGCGCGAAAGCUAGGGGAGCAAACGGG
rnacentral:rRNA from 1 species